AUUAAGAUCCGGAAUAUUGUUUAAGUUUUUCCAAAAUUCAAUCAUGUAUCGUGGUUACGUUGAUUUUAAUUCAGACGAACUCCGUGAGGCGGCUAGUAAGAAUGUCCGCCAAAAUGUUAUGGUGUUUUCGGGAAUGAUAGCCGCAAUACGUAUCGUUCCUUUCUUCCUACGCAAACUUGGUUAUUUGUAAAAUGUAGGUUAAAAAUCGGCAGUCACAAUUAAAAAUCUCUAAAUUCUAUACGAUGUACAAAAUUUGAUGAUGAUUUUCAUCAGAUGGUGAGGGACUAGAAGAAGCCCUAAGAAAAAUUGGUUUUUGAAAGUCUAAAGGUUAACCUAUACUUUUUCUUAUAUAUUGCAGCUCUACUCUUAAAAUAUGAUUUUUAGAUGAAACUCAAGAAUUCAUUUUAUUUUGUACUGUGCACAUUCUUUAUAUCUACUUUGAGUUGCCCUAAAUUCUUGUGCCUGAUUUAACAUAUAUAUUUUGGACACUAAUGGGAACAUCGAAGGACCUAACAAAAAUUGUGACGUAUGUCGAUAUUUUUGCUCUACAUGCUGAUUUUGGAAAAACAUUCCAGCUUUUUUAAUCUUUCGGAAUAGACUUUUAACCAUUAAAUUAUAAAACAAAAUUGUUAUAAAAUAUAUCUUUUAACCAAGCCUUUUUUAGUAAUAGUAAAUA